rnacentral:rRNA from 1 species
AGAUUGAACGCUAGCGGCAUGCCUAACACAUGCAAGUCGAACGGUAACAGGCCCUUCGGGGGUGCUGACGAGUGGCGGACGGGUGAGUAAUGCGUAGGAAUCUACCCACGAGUGGGGGAUAGCCCGGAGAAAUCCGGAUUAAUACCGCAUAUGCCCUAACGGGGUAAAAGGCGGGGGAUACGUAAGGACCUCGCGCUGGUGGAUGACGCCUAACGUCCGAUUAGGUUAGUUGGGU